GAUAAUAACCAAAGACCUGCAAAGAUGUUUUGCUGUCCUUGGUCCUUGUUUCCUGCUGAUGUCGUGGUUAGACUUUGGAUUUUUUAACACAUUCACAUCUUAUACUGCUGUUGGUGUUUGUCUGUGAAGCAGCUGAUGGUGUGUUUAAACACAUGUGGUUUCAUCGAUUUCAAACAGACAAAAAGUAAAGAUGACGUGGACGUUGGAGACAAGCCUACAGAAGAGUGAACAAGAGGAACAAACAACACCUCGACUACCCCCUCCGCUCUCAGGAAGCGCCUCUGCUGGCGUUUUAUGAAGAUACAAGAAAAGCCUGAAACACAAAUACAACACAAAGAAUCCAGAGAGACGUCGGCAGAUCCGAUCCCCCUCUGCGUUUGUGCGUGUG
ensembl:lncRNA